GAUGAACGCUAGCUACAGGCUUAACACAUGCAAGUCGAGGGGAAACGACAUCGAAAGCUUGCUUUUGAUGGGCGUCGACCGGCGCACGGGUGAGUAACGCGUAUCCAACCUGCCCACCACUUGGGGAUAACCUUGCGAAAGUAAGACUAAUACCCAAUGACGUCUCUAGAAGACAUCUGAAGGAGAUUAAAGAUUUAUCGGUGAUGGAUGGGGAUGCGUCUGAUUAGCUCGUUGGCGAGGUAACGGCCCACCAAGGCGACGAUCAGUAGGGGUUCUGAGAGGAAGGUCCCCCAAAUUGGACCUGAGACACGGUCCAAACUCCUACGGGAGGCAGCAGUGAGGAGUAUUGGUCAAUGGGCGAGAGCCUGAACCAGCCAAGUAGCGUGCAGGAUGACGGCCCUAUGGGUUGUAAACUGCUUUUAUAAGGGAAUAAAGUGAGUCUCGUGAGACUUUUUGCAUGUACCUUAUGAAUAAGGACCGGCUAAUUCCGUGCCAGCAGCCGCCGUAA
rnacentral:rRNA from 1 species